rnacentral:tRNA from 1 species
UCCCUGGUGGCUCAGACAGUAAAGAGUCUGCCUGCAAUGCAGGAGACCUGGGUUUGAUCCCUGGCUCGGGAA